rnacentral:lncRNA from 1 species
UGCCACAUUAUAUCAUUUGUUUGAAUCGCAAAUAGAACAUAACAUAGUUAACAUAUAAUUUCAAUAUUAACAGUUUUUUUGCAUAUUAUAAAUUUGUAUAGCUUAACUACUCUUUUCUUCUGUCCUUUCAUUAAAGUCAUUGUUUAUGAUAAUGAAGAAUAGUUUUUUUUUUUCCGUGUCAUCAUCCUUGUUGAAUGCUUAAAUCUGUUUAGUCUCUUGAAUGCUUGUCCACAACUUUCUGUGUUCGAACCAUGUAUAUCUACAAACUUUUCUAGUUUUGGGUGGAAUUCACAUUUGGGAUUGUUGUGUAAAGGCAUAUCCUUGAAAUACAAAAGAUAGAGUUGAUUGAGUUGAUCAACUCUUAAUCGAUCGUAACGAUUGAAUACGAUCGAUACGAUCGUGACCCUUGAAAUACAAAAAGAUAGAGUUGAUUGAGUU